UUCUGGCUCAGGAUUAACGCUGGCGGCGUGCCUAACACAUGCAAGUCGAACGAGGUAGCAAUACCUAGUGGCAGACGGGUGAGUAACACGUGGUCAACCUACCCUUAGGUGGGGGAUAACUGGCCGAAAGGUCAGCUAAUACCGCAUGAAACGUGCCGGGGCAUCCCGGAACGUUAAAAGCAGCAAUGCGCCAAAGGACGGGACCGCGUCCGAUUAGCUUGUUGGUGGGGUAAUGGCCUACCAAGGCUCCGAUCGGUAGCUGGUUUGAGAGAGCGACCAGCCACACUGGGACUGAGAAACGGCCCAGACUCCUACGGGAGGCAGCAGUGAGGAAUUUUCCGCAAUGGGCGAAAGCCCUGACGGAGCGACGCCGCGUGUGGGAUGAAGGCCCUCGGGUCGUAAACCACUGUCGAAGGGGACUAUACUGAAGGUACCCUUGGAGGAAGCCCCGGCUAACUACGUGCCAGCAGCUGC
rnacentral:rRNA from 1 species